UACGGGGGGGGUAAGCGUUGUUCGGAAUUACUGGGCGUAAAGGGCUCGUAGGCGGCCAACUAAGUCAGACGUGAAAUCCCUCAGCUUAACUGGGGAACUGCGUCUGAUACUGGAUGGCUUGAAUCCGGGAGAGGGAUGCGGAAUUCCAGGUGUAGCGGUGAAAUGCGUAGAUAUCUGGAGGAACACCGGUGGCGAAGGCGGCAUCCUGGACCGGCAUUGACGCUGAGGAGCGAAAGCCAGGGGAGCAAACGGG
rnacentral:rRNA from 1 species